UUAACACAUGCAAGUCGAGCGAAGCACUUAAGUUCGAUUCUUCGGAUGAAGACUUUCGUGACUGAGCGGCGGACGGGUGAGUAACGCGUGGGUAACCUGCCUCAUACAGGGGGAUAACAGUUAGAAAUGGCUGCUAAUACCGCAUAAGACCACGGUACUGCAUGGUACAGUGGUAAAAACUCCGGUGGUAUGAGAUGGACCCGCGUCUGAUUAGGUAGUUGGUGAGGUAACGGCCCACCAAGCCGACGAUCAGUAGCCGACCUGAGAGGGUGACCGGCCACAUUGGGACUGAGACACGGCCCAGACUCCUACGGGAGGCAGCAGUGGGGAAUAUUGCACAAUGGGCGAAAGCCUGAUGCAGCGACGCCGCGUGAAGGAUGAAGUAUUUCGGUAUGUAAACUUCUAUCAGCAGGGAAGAAAAUGACGGUACCUGACUAAGAAGCCCCGGCUAACUACGUGCCAGCAGCCGCGGUAAUACGUAGGGGGCAAGCGUUAUCCGGAUUUACUGGGUGUAAAGGGAGCGUAGACGGCUGUGCAAGUCUGAAGUGAAAGGCAUGGGCUCAACCUGUGGACUGCUUUGGAAACUGUGCAGCUAGAGUGUCGGAGAGGUAAGUGGAAUUCCUAGUGUAGCGGUGAAAUGCGUAGAUAUUAGGAGGAACACCAGUGGCGAAGGCGGCUUACUGGACGAUGACUGACGUUGAGGCUCGAAAGCGUGGGGAGCAAAC
rnacentral:rRNA from 1 species